UUUAGCACCGAUGAACACCAUUGGUUCUCAAGAAAAGCUCUUAUGAACACCAGAAAUGCUAUAAAACGCGUAUGAAGUUCCUGUGAGAGAAGAGACGGAGAAACCAUCAAGUGCAAAGAGGGUGUGUUUCAUGAUCAAAAGCAAAGGCUGCAAUGGAUCCAAGUCAGUUAUCGUCUGUGCAAACAUUAUCCACUGAAUGGGCAACCAACAGAUGUAAAGGGUCUUUAAUAAUACAAGUUGUGAAUGAGGAAAAUAACUUCUGCAGUCAUAGGAAGAAAGAGGAAGAGGAAGCCACGGUCUACUCUAAAUCCAGGUAUUAAAACCUUCCUAACUGCAUAAACCAUCAGAUUUAAUUCUUAUCAUGUGGACAGUGUACGACUUUUUGUUAACAAAGAACACAAGUCAUGUGAAUGUUCAGUUAGACUUUUUUGUUGAAUUUUGAACAAAAUCUUGAAAAUGGCAAGUCAGUUUUUUUUUAAAAAAAAAAUAUUAACAGAGCACUAUUAAGGCAGAAUACAGAACGAAAUACACACAUAAAUUGAAUAGAUACUUAUACUUGGUUUGUCUUCUACAUAACUGUUAGUAGAAAUAACAUGCAAAAACAUAGUGUACUAAAGCUCAAAAAUACCAUAAGAUAACAUAUCUCACAGAAAUUAUAUGCAAAUAUCAGAAUGGAAGCUUUAACUAGAUCUAGAUCUAGGGCAUCAUCUCACUUAGCCUGUCUAAUAGAUAUGUAAAGGUAAACCUCCGUGAACCCCGAGAUUCGAGUUACC